UACGUAGGGGGCAAGCGUUGUCCGGAAUCAUUGGGCGUAAAGAGCUCGUAGGCGGCUUGUUGCGUCGACCGUGAAAACCCGUGGCUUAACUGCGGGCUUGCGGUCGAUACGGGCGGGCUGGAGUUCGGUAGGGGAGACUGGAAUUCCUGGUGUAGCGGUGAAAUGCGCAGAUAUCAGGAGGAACACCGGUGGCGAAGGCGGGUCUCUGGGCCGAUACUGACGCUGAGGAGCGAAAGCGUGGGGAGCGAACAGG
rnacentral:rRNA from 1 species